AGGAAUAUUGGUCAAUGGACGCAAGUCUGAACCAGCCAUGCAGCGUGAAGGAUUAAGGCCCUCUGGGUUGUAAACUUCUUUUAUAGGGGAAGAAAUGUGACGGUUCUCCGUCACUUGACGGUGCCCUGGGAAUAAGCACCGGCUAACUCCGUGCCAGCAGCCGCGGUAAUACGGAGGGUGCAAGCGUUAUCCGGAUUCACUGGGUUUAAAGGGUGCGUAGGUGGGCAGAUAAGUCAGUGGUGAAAUCUUCCGGCUUAACCGGGAAACUGCCGUUGAUACUAUUUGUCUUGAAUAUUGCGGAGGUCAGCGUAAUAUGUCAUGUCGCGGUGAAAUGCUUAGAUAUGACAUAGAACACCAAUUGCGAAGGCAGCUUACUACACAAUCAUUGACACUGAGGCACGAAAGCGUGGGUAGCGAACA
rnacentral:rRNA from 1 species